UACGUAGGGUGCGAGCGUUGUCCGGAAUUAUUGGGCGUAAAGGGCUCGUAGGCGGUUUGUCGCGUCUGCUGUGAAAGCCCGGGGCUCAACCCCGGGUCUGCAGUGGAUACGGGCAGGCUAGAGUCCGGCAGGGGAGACUGGAAUUCCUGGUGUAGCGGUGGAAUGCGCAGAUAUCAGGAGGAACACCGGUGGCGAAGGCGGGUCUCUGGGCCGGUACUGACGCUGAGGAGCGAAAGCGUGGGGAGCGAACAGG
rnacentral:rRNA from 1 species